UAGUGAUGAUGAUGAUGAUGAUGAUGAUGAUGAUGAUAACACACCAAAAAUGGUUCUUUAUUACAAGUUUAUCUCAUAUCAGCAUCCUCAUCAUCAUCUAUC
rnacentral:miRNA from 1 species